rnacentral:rRNA from 1 species
UACGUAGGGACCAAGCGUUGUUCGGAUUUACUGGGCGUAAAGGGCGCGUAGGCGGCGUGACAAGUCACUUGUGAAAUCUCUGGGCUUAACCCAGAACGGCCAAGUGAAACUGUUGUGCUAGAGUGCAGAAGGGGCAACUGGAAUUCUCGGUGUAGCGGUGAAAUGCGUAGAUAUCGAGAGGAACACCUGCGGCGAAGGCGGGUUGCUGGGCUGAUACUGACGCUGGAGGCGCGAAAGCUAGGGGAGCGAACGGG